rnacentral:misc_RNA from 1 species
AAUUUCAGCAGCAUCUGCUGAUAAUAUCAUCAGCCCAUGAUGGUAAACUAAGCAUUUCUCUUUGAUUUUUUCAUGCACGGAAAAACUAGCUACAUCCAGAUAUGCAAGAAAGUUAACAAGGAUCCAUACAGUAUAGAACAUUCAGUUCUACACUUGCGAUCACUUCCUUUUUGUUUUGAAGUGCUCUCCACCUAUACACUAAUUGGUAUUGAAAUCUGAUACAAACUGAGAUGUACAUGAUUAGCGACCUCGGCCACGUCCACGGCCACGUCCUCGCCCCCGACCACGUCCCAAAGGCUUCCCAGCAGUUGCCUUCUUGGGCUUAACCCUUGGUGUUUCUUCCACAAGUAGAGUUUCCAAGUUCAAGCUAUCAGGAAGGAUAUAGUAGCGGAUGUUGUUUCCUCUCACGCUUAAAUGAUCAAGAGUAACUGGAUUUUUACCCUUCAAUGUCAAUUUCACUGUCCUCAAGUGUGUAUUCAUACUGACAUCGACACCUGUGAUAGUGCCAUGAACAAUACUACCGUUUUUGAGCUCAAUCGAUAUUGUCUCGUUGUUUAAUUUCAUCAAAAACCUGACGAGCUUCAUCUUGAGCACAGAGAUGGAGAGAGCUCGCAGUGGAAUCGGUUGGUACACAGAGAUUGAGA